UACGAAGGGGGCUAGCGUUGCUCGGAAUCACUGGGCGUAAAGCGCACGUAGGCGGAUCUUUAAGUCAGGGGUGAAAUCCUGGAGCUCAACUCCAGAACUGCCUUUGAUACUGAGGAUCUUGAGUCCGGGAGAGGUGAGUGGAACUCCGAGUGUAGAGGUGAAAUUCGUAGAUAUUCGGAAGAACACCAGUGGCGAAGGCGGCUCACUGGCCCGAUACUGACGCUGAGGCACGAAAGCGUGGGGAGCGAACAGG
rnacentral:rRNA from 1 species